AACAUAAAAUCAUGCGACCACGAUGAGGCAUAGAACUUGUCUGAUACGUGUCGACCCACAAAUAAUUUGGAUCUGCACGUGAUGGUCAUGUGAGCAAUGCUUUCUAAAUUACAUCGACUCGUGAAAACACUUGGUUAAGACCUUGCGGCUUGCUGGUUAGUGGGCUAUGCUCCUACGCGUCCGCAAACAUCGACUGCUUAUCAGAUCAAGGAACAAUUUCAGCCCUUCAUUUCAAUUUAAAAUGAUCUUUACUGUUCUUUUAAAUUAAUUUUUAAACAUUUUUAAUAUUAUAUUUAUUAAAAUAAAAAAUAUAAAAAUUUUAAUAUUAAAUCUGGACUAUUUAAAUGAUUAAUCUGUAAAAUUUAUAAAUUUUUAAAUAUCAAAUUAGAUUACAUAGAUUAUAUAUGAACUGUCUAGAGUCUAUAUGAAUAAUUAAAUUAUAAAAUUAUAAAUUUUUUUAAUGUUAAAUUGAAUUGUUAGAUUAAAUAUGUAUUUUCCAGAUUGGCAAUAAAUAAAUUUAUUAAAUUUUUUAUUUUUUAUAUAAAUAUAUAUAAUAUUAAAAUAUUUAAAAAUUAAUUUAAAUAAAUGGCAGAGAUUAAUUUAGACUGAAAUGGAGGGUCAAGAGAUGAGUAUGCAGUAAUGAGCACCAAAUGCAAAUCCAUUCUUUUACCUACAAGGUCGUGAGUUCGAAUAGGAAUGGGACAAAACCUAUGAAAACCUCAUAUGUAAAUAUUAAAAUUGUGUAGCCAUUAUUAUAAUUUAGUUUAAAUAAAGUGAUUUGUUUGAAAAAA